rnacentral:SRP_RNA from 2 species
GCUGGGUGUGGUGGCACACACCUGUAAUCCCAGGUACUCAGGAGGCUGAGGCAGGAGAAUCACUUGAGCCUGGGAGGCAGAGUUUGCAGUAAGCCAAGAUAGUGCCACUGCACUCCAGCCUGGGCAACAGAGUGAGACCCUGUCUCAA